rnacentral:rRNA from 1 species
AAUGGUGGUUAUAACGAUGGGGAUCCACCUCUUACCAUACCGAACAGAGAAGUUAAGCCCAUUAGUGCCGAUGAUACUGCUAUACCAAGUGGGAAAGUAGGUAGCCGCCAACU